AGCUCGUACAGUGUGCCUGCAUUCCAGCUUCUUAGACUCUACGCAAGUGGACAGAGUAUCAGUGUUUGGCCACUCUUACAGACACCGACUUCUGUCAACUCACUGCUACUGAUCAGGCACCUCACUCCAGGAAGACAGAGGGCUGUAAGCCUGUCAUCGUUUCCAGUGUGGCUUUGUAUUCUUGGGGUAGCAUCAGAUUUUUCCCACAAAUAUUCAAAGAUUUAUAUGCAGUGAUCGGAUGUGGUGGAGCUUUGUUAUCUGUGUGGAAAACAUCUGUUUGUGAUGAUAUUUACAAUGAGGCUUUAAGGUGACGGUUUCCAUGUAAUUUCAGUCCUUUUACUAAGCAAAAACAUGUUUGCAAUUAACAUAUUUUUUUCAGUUUUGUCUUUUGGAUUUAUGGUUAACAUUCCUCUGUGACAGCAAAUACUAAACUGGUCCAAGUAACCAGCAUAUCAUUGGUCAAAGGCAAAAAGGACCACAUGUCACGCUAGCAAUGAAGUUUUGACUGUGUUUGUGUCACCAGAUUUAACAAACAAUAUCAGACAUAUGAAACUGAACUCUGGAUUAAUGUGCAGAUGUUUUUUGUGUUUUUUUUUUAAUUGUUGAAUAAUUAUUUUGUAGGACAAACCCAAUUUAUUUACCCAAACAAUGUAACUUGUUUGGUUAAAUAGUGGAUUAAUAUAUCUAAGUCUAUAAGUAUAGCAAGCUGAAUUCAUACAAA